rnacentral:rRNA from 1 species
UACGUAGGAUGCAAGCGUUGUCCGGAAUUAUUGGGCGUAAAGAGCGCGCAGGCGGUAUGACAAGUCAGAUGUGAAAGAGGCCGGCUUAACCGGCAAGGGUCAUUUGAAACUGUCAGACUAGAGUGCAGCAGAGGAUAGUGGAAUUCCCGGUGUAGUGGUGAUAUGCGUAGAUAUCGGGAGGAACACCUGUCGCGAAGGCGGCUUUCUGGGCCCUACCUGACGCUGAGACGCGAAAGCGUGGGGAGCGAACCGG